AUAUUAGCGCAUUAAAAAUGUUGUAGCUAAUUUUAUUUUAUUAUUAUUAUCUAAUUGAAUUUGAUCAUCUAUUUUGCUGCAACCAUAAUAUUAAGUGGUAAAGGGCUCAGUAGUUGGUAAUCGAAAUCUUAAGUUUGAAUUCUAAUUGAUUUAUAUUUUUAGUUAAGUUUAGUUUUAAAUGAAAUAAAUAAAGCAGAUAGUAUUUUACUUAUCUCACACAAAAUAAAGUGAUAACAUUAAUUUUCUAAUAUUACCCCAACUGCAAUAUCUCCGACAUUAAU
rnacentral:lncRNA from 1 species